GACGUAGGGCGCGAGCGUUGUCCGGAUUUAUUGGGCGUAAAGAGCUCGUAGGCGGUUUGUCGCGUCUGCCGUGAAAGUCCGGGGCUCAACUCCGGAUCUGCGGUGGGUACGGGCAGACUAGAGUGAUGUAGGGGAGACUGGAAUUCCUGGUGUAGCGGUGAAAUGCGCAGAUAUCAGGAGGAACACCGGUGGCGAAGGCGGAUCUCUGGGCCGUAACUGACGCUGAGGAGCGAAAGCAUGGGGAGCGAACAGG
rnacentral:rRNA from 1 species